rnacentral:rRNA from 1 species
GACGGAGGAUGCAAGUGUUAUCCGGAAUCACUGGGCGUAAAGCGUCUGUAGGUGGUUUAAAAAGUCCACUGUUAAAAAUUGAAGCUUAACUACAAAGAUGCCGUGGAAACUUUUAAACUUGAGGAUGAUAGGGGUAGAGGGAAUUUCCAGUGGAGCGGUGAAAUGCGUAGAUAUUGGAAAGACCACCAAUGGCGAAGGCACUCUACUGGGCCAUUACUGACACUGAGAGACGAAAGCUAGGGGAGCGAAUGGG